UACGUAGGGUGCGAGCGUUAAUCGGAAUUACUGGGCGUAAAGUGUGCGCAGGUGGCCGCGCAAGUCGAGUGUGAAAUCCCCGAGCUUAACUUGGGAAUUGCGCUCGAAACUACUUUGCUGGAGUGUGGCGGAGGAAGGUGGAAUUCCACGUGUAGCGGUGAAAUGCGUAGAGAUGUGGAGGAACACCAAUGGCGAAGGCAGCCUUCUGGGCCAACACUGACGCUCAUGCACGAAAGCGUGGGGAGCAAACAGG
rnacentral:rRNA from 1 species